rnacentral:lncRNA from 1 species
CCCAAAGAGCCCCAAACCCCCCCAAACUGCCCCAAAACCGUCAAAAAAUGCCCCAAGGAGCCCAGAACUCUCACAGGGACCCCCAAAAAUGCCCCAAAACUGUCCCUGGGACCCCCAACCCCCCCAAAAAAUGCCCCUGAAACCCCAACCCCCCCCCCCCCCCCCCCCAAACGGUCCAGGGACCCCCCCCAAACCCCCCUAAACCACCCCAGGACCCUCCCAAAAUGUCCCAGAGACCCCCAAAAUCCCCUCAGUUCCUCCCCCCCCCCCCAACCUGCCCAAAUUACCCCAAGGACCCCCAAAACCGCUGAGAGACCCCAAAACUUCCCCCAAAGGGCCCAAACCACCCCAGGACCCCCCAAGAUCCCUCAGGGACCCCAAAGCCCCCUCAGGGACCCCAAACUCCCCUCAGAAGCCCCCAGACUGCCCUCAGGGACCCCAAACUCCCCUCAGGGACCCCCAAAUCCCCUCAGAAACCCCCAAAGCCCCCUCAAGGACCCCAAACCUCCCUCAGGGACCCCAAACUUCCCUCCGGAACCCCCGAACUCCCGCAAGAACUCCCAUCUUCCCUCAGGAACACCCAAGCCCCCCCUCAGAGACCUCAAACUUCCCCCACGAACCCCAAAUUCCCUCACGAAACCCCCAACUCCCCUCAGGCACCCCCAAUCCCCCCUCAGGGACCCCAAACUCCCCUCAGGAAGGCCCAACCUCCCUCAGGAACCCCCCCAAAUGAUCCCCCUGAGACUCCAACCCCCACCAAGGACCCCUCCAACCCCUCUUGUGGCCCCCAAAUCCCCUGUAGGAACCCCCAACCUCCCCCCGGAACCCCAAACCGCCCCAAAUUCCCCCCAAACUCCCUCAGAGUCCCCCAAAAGCGGCCCCGAUCCCCCCCCCGCUCACCCCUCCCGCGCCAUCACCGCCGGGCCCCGCCCCCCGCGCUCCCAUUGGCGGCUCUCUCCGCGCGCCAACGCCUAUCCGCGCUUUUCAUUGGCCGCCGCGGACGUCAAUCAUCGCCAGACCACCGAGACGAGGCGGGGCGGUCCUCCGAGAGCGGCGGAGCGCCGGAGGGAGGGGUUUAAAAGGGGUUUUGACUAA